UACGUAUGGUGCAAGCGUUAUCCGGAUUUACUGGGCGUAAAGGGAGCGCAGGCGGCGCGCCAAGUUUGAUGUGAAACCCCGGGGCUCAACCCCGGGCAUGCAUUGGAAACUGGCGGGCUGGAGUGCCGGAGAGGUAAGCGGAAUUCCUAGUGUAGCGGUGAAAUGCGUAGAUAUUAGGAGGAACACCAGUGGCGAAGGCGGCUUACUGGACGGCAACUGACGCUGAGGCUCGAAAGCGUGGGGAGCAAACAGG
rnacentral:rRNA from 1 species